AUUGAACGCUGGCGGCAUGCCUAACACAUGCAAGUCGAACGGCAGCACAGUAAAGAUUUCGGUCUUUAUGGGUGGCGAGUGGCAGACGGGUGAGUAAUGCGUAGGAAUCUGUCUUGGAGAGUGGGAUAACCCGAGGAAACUCGGGCUAAUACUGCAUGAUAUCGAGAGAUCAAAGGCAGGGGACCCUUCGGGGCCUUGCGCUCUAGGAUGAGCCUACGUCGGAUUAGCUAAUUGGUGGGGUAAAGGCCUACCAAGGCGACGAUCCGUAGCUGGUCUUAGAGGAUGACCAGCCAAACGGGGACUGAGACACGGCCCAGACUCCUACGGGAGGCAGCAGUGGGGAAUCUUGGACAAUGGGGGAAACCCUGAUCCAGCGAUGCCGCGUGUGUGAAGAAGGCCUUCGGGUUGUAAAGCACUUUAGUUGGGGAAGAAAAGUAAUGAGUGAAUAACUGAUUGCUCUGACGGUACCCAAAGAAUAAGCACCGGCUAACUCUGUGCCAGCCGCCGCAGUAA
rnacentral:rRNA from 1 species